CCCAAGUUACUUGGAUAACUGUGGUAAUUCUAGAGCUAAUACAUGCCGACAGAGUUCCGACCGUCGCGGCGCCCUCGGGCGUCGCUCGCGGGAGGAACGCUUUUAUUACAUCAAAACCGGCCCGUCGCGGCGCGCUUCGUGCGCGUCCCGAUCGCGGCCCGCGCAAAGACCUGGUGACUCUGAAUAACUUCAAGCUGAUCGCACGGUCUCCGUACCGGCGACGCAUCUUUCAAAUGUCUGCCUUAUCAACUGUCGAUGGUAGGUUCCAUGCCUACCAUGGUGGUAACGGGUAACGGGGAAUCAGGGUUCGAUUCCGGAGAGGGAGCCUGAGAAACGGCUACCACAUCCAAGGAAGGCAGCAGGCGCGCAAAUUACCCACUCCCGGAACGGGGAGGUAGUGACGAAAAAUAACGAUACGGGACUCAUCCGAGGCCCCGUAAUCGGAAUGAGAACACUUUAAAACCUUUAAACGAGGAUCAAUUGGAGGGCAAGUCUGGUGCCAGCAGCCGCGGUAAUUCCAGCUCCAAUAGCGUAUAUUAAAGUUGUUGCGGUUAAAAAGCUCGUAGUCGGAUCUGUGUCUGGACGGUGCCGGACCACCCUGGCGGUCCGUCGUGUCGCGGCCGGCCGUGUCGCGGGACCACGUGUCCCGUCGGCGCGGUCGCCGUCGCGCUCGUCAGCCGUCUCGGGGUGUUAGUUACCGGCACGUCGGCCGGACGUAUUGUCGGCAGGCGGACACGUGUCUCGUGCUUCCGGCGCGCCGCGCGGCCACGCGUCGCGCGGCCGUCGGUGUUCGACGACGGCGGCCGCCUACUCCAAUCUUGCUGCGCGGUGCUCUUCACCGAGUGCCGUCGGCGGGCCGACACGUUUACUUUGAACAAAUUAUAGUGCUCAAAGCAGGCUCGAAUCUGGCGGGGCGGCUUCACGGCCGUCUCGUCAAAAGGCCCUGAAUACUGGUCGCAUGGAAUAAUGGAACAAGACCUCGGUCCCGCGCAUCUCCGCCCUUCGCGGGCGCGCGAAAUCGCCCUCCGGGGCGUUUCCGUGCGCGGGCCGCCGGGCCGCGGGCGCCAGUCGCCCGCGCGUCCCGCCGGGCCGGUUUUCGGGACCGGAGGUAAUGAUCAACAGAGACGGGCGGGGGCAUUCGUACCGAGACGUUAGAGGUGAAAUUCUUGGAUCGUCUCGAGACGAACUGACGCGAAAGCAUUUGCCAAGUACGUUCUCGUAUGAUCAAGAACGAAAGUUAGAGGUUCGAAGGCGAUCAGAUACCGCCCUAGUUCUAACUGUAAACGAUGCCAGCUAGCGAUCCGCCGGCGUUUCAUUAACGACCCGGCGGGCAGCUUCCGGGAAACCGAAGCUUUUCGGUUCCGGGGGAAGUAUGAUUGCAAAGUUGAAACUUAAAGGAAUUGACGGAAGGGCACCACCAGGAGUGGAGCCUGCGGGCUUAAUUUGACUCAACACGGGAAACCCUCACCACGCCCGGACACCGGAAAAGAUUGACAGAUUGAGAGCUCUUUCUUGAUUUCGGUGGGUGGUGGUGCAUGGGCCGGUUCUUA
rfam:Acyrthosiphon pisum strain LSR1 Contig2543, whole genome shotgun sequence.